CAGUCGCCGCGGGAAUACGUAGGUGGCAAGCGUUGUCCGGAAUUAUUGGGCGUAAAGCGCGCGCAGGUGGUUUAAUAAGUCUGAUGUGAAAGCCCACGGCUCAACCGUGGAGGGUCAUUGGAAACUGUUAAACUUGAGUGCAGGAGAGAAAAGUGGAAUUCCUAGUGUAGCGGUGAAAUGCGUAGAGAUUAGGAGGAACACCAGUGGCGAAGGCGGCUUUUUGGCCUGUAACUGACACUGAGGCGCGAAAGCGUGGGGAGCAAACAGGAUUAGAUACCCCUGUAGUCCCUGUCUCUUAUAU
rnacentral:rRNA from 1 species